rnacentral:piRNA from 1 species
UGACACUGGCGAGAUCACACGGUGCU